UCACUCUUUUGAUCUUCAAACGUCCAACACAAGGACGAAAGCGCACUACAAAAAAAAUCCGAAAUUUUGGUCUAGCAGUUCCAGUUGGCUUAAAAAUUGUCUCUGGAAAGAUGCUCGAUUCGUACCAUACAAGUCGUAUAAGCCGAGAACCUAUCUCGGACUUUAAAUAGGUACGAAUCAGGUAGAAAUCACAACAGGAAAACCGAUAGCCGGCUAGUCACCGCACAAACCUUAAAACCGAGAGUAAGCCUAGGUCUUGCCGUAAACCCAUCGCAUUGGUCUCAAACAUCUCUAAGACAUGAUAUCUAAAUGAUACGAGAUUCCUAAAACGUGUCUCUUCGUUCAUAUCUCAACAUUCCCGAAAAAUCGUAAAUAAUUUUUACGAAAACUCACGUCUCGAAUAAACUAACAGAUUGAACGCCUCAACGAAGAUAAAUAUGAGACAACAACUCAUAUUCACUUCAAACCCACUCUAAACAUUUAGUAACCCAAACAGACAUCCAUUAUAUAAACCGCAUAGCGGUAGGGGUUCAAGGCCACCAACGGCCAGUCCCGAUAAAAGCGGCCAAAAAUGGCCCGUACAAAGUUCGAAGGCCACACUCGGCCGGACAUAUAUGAACAAAGGCCACACUCGGCCGUUAAAUACUAGAUAAAGGGAAAAAAUCCUUCCCGUCGAAACGCUCACAGGUAAAAGUUAAAACUCCCAGACAAGGAAGCUCCGAAUGCAUCUGCGGGAAAGUUCACUUCCUCAUCGUCACCGGCAAAAU
rnacentral:lncRNA from 1 species